AUACUUACCUGGCAAGGGAGAUACCAUGAUCAAGAAGGUGGUUCACCCACAAGUCUGAGGCUCAGCCAUUGCACUGAGGCUGUUGUGAAUUGCGGACAGAACCCAAAUGUGGGAAUCUCGAUUGCAUAAUUUCUGGUAGUGGGGGACUGCAGUUGCCGCUCUCCCCUG
ensembl:snRNA U1 U1 spliceosomal RNA